CUGAAGGGUACUUACAGGACAAGGACCCAGAACUGGAACCAGAACUCCAGGAGCAGCCUCAGCAAUGCAGAGUAGAUGGGAAAGAUCACCUCUCUUGCUGGUAAUACUUUGCCUAACGCAGGCAGGAAUGACGUUGGCCUUCUUAGCAGCAAGAACACCCAUGUUCAACUUGGUGUCCACCAGGACUCCCUAGGCCCUUUUCAGUUCACUGAGAAGGCAGAAACCUGAACGUUGCUGAGUCUGGUCUGUGGCAUUGACACUAAAUAAGCAGCAGUCCCUAAAAGGUUAGAAAUGGCCCCACUCAAAAAUUUUACAAGUGCUUGAGAGACAAGGGGUUGUAAGAGAUAGGCAAGAUGCCUGGAGGCUAAAACAACGUUGAGUGCAGCUCAGAAAGCACUUUCUGUGGACAGAACGUCUUUUCAACACAGCCAGAGAUUAUCCAUAUGUCUUCAAACCCCAUUGCAUGCUACAUGUUGCAUUGAUCGUGUGCAGCAGCUGAGAGCUGAACAAAUAAGCUGCUGCUGCUGUGUUGGGUUGGGGAACAUCCUGGUGUUGCUCUGACAUUUC
rnacentral:lncRNA from 1 species